rnacentral:rRNA from 1 species
GACGAACGCUGGCGGCGUGCCUAAUACAUGCAAGUAGAACGCUGAAGAGAGGAGCUUGCUCUUCUUGGAUGAGUUGCGAACGGGUGAGUAACGCGUAGGUAACCUGCCUUGUAGCGGGGGAUAACUAUUGGAAACGAUAGCUAAUACCGCAUAACAAUGGAUGACACAUGUCAUUUAUUUGAAAGGGGCAAUUGCUCCACUACAAGAUGGACCUGCGUUGUAUUAGCUAGUAGGUGAGGUAAUGGCUCACCUAGGCGACGAUACAUAGCCGACCUGAGAGGGUGAUCGGCCACACUGGGGCUGAGACACGGCCCAGACUCCUACGGGAGGCAGCAGUAGGGAAUCUUCGGCAAUGGGGGCAACCCUGACCGAGCAACGCCGCGUGAGUGAAGAAGGUUUUCGGAUCGUAAAGCUCUGUUGUAAGUCAAGAACGGGUGUGAGAGUGGAAAGUUCACACUGUGACGGUAGCUUACCAGAAAGGGACGGCUAACUACGUGCCAGCAGCCGCGGUAAUACGUAGGUCCCGAGCGUUGUCCGGAUUUAUUGGGCGUNAAGCGAGCGCAGGCGGUUUGAUAAGUCUGAAGUUAAAGGCUGUGGCUCAACCAUAGUUCGCUUUGGAAACUGUCAAACUUGAGUGCAGAAGGGGAGAGUGGAAUUCCAUGUGUAGCGGUGAAAUGCGUAGAUAUAUGGAGGAACACCGGUGGCGAAAGCGGCUCUCUGGUCUGUAACUGACGCUGAGGCUCGAAAGCGUGGGGAGCGAACAGGAUUAGAUACCCUGGUAGUCCACGCCGUAAACGAUGAGUGCUAGGUGUUGGAUCCUUUCCGGGAUUCAGUGCCGCAGCUAACGCAUUAAGCACUCCGCCUGGGGAGUACGACCGCAAGGUUGAAACUCAAAGGAAUUGACGGGGGCCCGCACAAGCGGUGGAGCAUGUGGUUUAAUUCGAAGCAACGCGAAGAACCUUACCAGGUCUUGACAUCCCGAUGCUAUUUCUAGAGAUAGAAAGUUACUUCGGUACAUCGGUGACAGGUGGUGCAUGGUUGUCGUCAGCUCGUGUCGUGAGAUGUUGGGUUAAGUCCCGCAACGAGCGCAACCCCUAUUGUUAGUUGCCAUCAUUCAGUUGGGCACUCUAGCGAGACUGCCGGUAAUAAACCGGAGGAAGGUGGGGAUGACGUCAAAUCAUCAUGCCCCUUAUGACCUGGGCUACACACGUGCUACAAUGGUUGGUACAACGAGUUGCGAGUCGGUGACGGCGAGCUAAUCUCUUAAAGCCAAUCUCAGUUCGGAUUGUAGGCUGCAACUCGCCUACAUGAAGUCGGAAUCGCUAGUAAUCGCGGAUCAGCACGCCGCGGUGAAUACGUUCCCGGGCCU